CACUUGCAUGCCUUAGUAGCGGCGAGUGAGCGGCAAAAGCUCAAAUUUGAAAUCUGGCGCCUUCGGUGUCCGAGUUGUAAUUUGAAGAUUGUAACCUUGGGGUUGGCUCUUGUCUAUGUUUCUUGGAACAGGACGUCACAGAGGGUGAGAAUCCCGUGCGAUGAGAUGCCCAAUUCUAUGUAAGGUGCUUUCGAAGAGUCGAGUUGUUUGGGAAUGCAGCUCUAAGUGGGUGGUAAAUUCCAUCUAAAGCUAAAUAUUGGCGAGAGACCGAUAGCGAACAAGUACAGUGAUGGAAAGAUGAAAAGAACUUUGAAAAGAGAGUGAAAAAGUACGUGAAAUUGUUGAAAGGGAAGGGUUUGAGAUCAGACUCGAUAUUUUGUGAGCCUUGCCUUCGUGGCGGGGUGACCCGCAGCUUAUCGGGCCAGCAUCGGUUUGGGCGGUAGGAUAAUGGCGUAGGAAUGUGACUUUACUUCGGUGAAGUGUUAUAGCCUGCGUUGAUGCUGCCUGCCUAGACCGAGGACUGCGAUUUUAUCAAGGAUGCUGGCAUAAUGAUCCCAAACCGCCCGUCUU
rnacentral:rRNA from 1 species